rnacentral:lncRNA from 1 species
CGGGUUAAGGAUCCCGAGCAGGCUGCAACUGCCGGUCAGGUUCGACCCCUGGCCCAGGAACUUCUACAUGCUGCGAUUGUGCCCAAGCGCUUUUAAAAGGGCUGUCACUCUGGGCAGUUCUAGCUUCUUCCUUCUCCCAAUCUCCUUCUCCCCGAAGCAUCCACCAGAGGACGCAGCUUCCCCCAAACUUUCCACUCUGCUUGGCUAGAGAAACUCAGUCCACGUUUUCCUGCUACUCCGGGCCCGCAGUUAAAUCACUGCAGCCCCAGACUAAGCUGUCCGUUACCAUGGGAACGGAAAGCCAUGACGUCACCAUUGUCUGGGAAAGUGGACGGCUGCCCCCCGCACGUGUCCGAACUACCACGCCGGCGACCACGCGUGAGCACGCAGAAGGCCCAAACCUCCCACCAUACCCCUCAGAACUUUCCCCGAACUCCUCCUUGCCUCUAUCCCCAAGGAAGUCAAGUCAGUCAAAUAACGAGGCUCAGCCUGUCCCAAACCCGCCGGGGCCCCUCAGAUCACACCCGCACGCUAGAAUCCUGCUCCUGGGCCGCGGUUUCCCUCGGACCCCGCCCCGCUCCUCGGGCCCCGCCCCCCGGCAGCGCGGGCGGGAGGCGGGGCCGGGGGCGCGGCCGCCGG